rnacentral:rRNA from 1 species
UCAGCCACACUGGGACUGAGACACGGCCCAGACUCCUACGGGAGGCAGCAGUGGGGAAUAUUGGACAAUGGGCGAAAGCCUGAUCCAGCCAUGCCGCGUGUGUGAAGAAGGCUUUCGGGUUGUAAAGCACUUUCAGCGAGGAAGAAAGCCUGGUGGUUAAUACCCAUCAGGAAGGACAUCACUCGCAGAAGAAGCACCGGCUAACUCCGUGCCAGCAGCCGCGGUAAUACGGAGGGUGCGAGCGUUAAUCGGAAUUACUGGGCGUAAAGCGCGCGUAGGUGGCUUGGCACGCCGGUUGUGAAAGCCCCGGGCUCAACCUGGGAACGGCAUCCGGAACGGCCAGGCUAGAGUGCAGGAGAGGAAGGUAGAAUUCCCGGUGUAGCGGUGAAAUGCGUAGAGAUCGGGAGGAAUACCAGUGGCGAAGGCGGCCUUAUGGCCUGACACUGACACUGAGGUGAGAAAGCGUGGGUAGCAAACAGGAUUAGAUACCCUGGUAGUCCACGCUGU